CAGUGGGAGGACCCUCAGACUGGACUUCAACCAUGACCAUGAGCUUAUCUCUCCCCAUCAUCCUUCUGCUCUGUGUGCCAUAUCUCCAUGGCAUCACUCUGACCUCGUCUCCAAACCAGGCCAAGUCUCCCGGUGACUCGGUGAGAAUAUCCUGCCAGGUGUCUGGUUACGCCCUCACUAGCAUUGGCACAGGCUGGAUCCCACAUCCUCCAGGCAAAGCCAUGCAGUGGAUUGGGAUCAUGUGGGGUGGUGGCUCUUUUAGCUCAGCAGACGCCUAGAAGAGCCGCUUCACCAUCAGCAGAGACAGCAGUAAUGUGCUCUACUUAGACAU